CUAUAAAAGAACUCCCUUCAGCUUAGUCAGGGAGAUAACUAAGUAGUAGCUGUUGGCUGAGAGACUCAUUGUGGGGAAGGUACCAAAGGGAAAUGGCAGCAGCUGUUGGAACUCUCCCAGUAAAAGGAAGACUUGUAGGGUGCUCCUGGCUGAAAAAGGUUAGAAGAAGGAGGUGGCCUAUGAAAGGCUGCGGAUGAGUCCUGCAGAGGAAAGAACCUUAGGAGGGGAGGACUCUAUGGUUUGUCUGCAUGGCUAAACCACAUCAAAAUAACAGAUGGGAAACUGAGUACCCUACCAUCAGGAAUCUGCAGCCUAGAGGGCAAAUUGAGGCAUUCUGAAACCUAAUGCUGGAAAGGUCUGAGCCAGCGUAAAGUUGAUGGGAUUCAGAACCGAAUGAAAAUAAAUAACUUGCAUGGCGGAGUACACCAAACAAGGAGAUGUGACUCUAUUCCUGAAUAAAUGACUAGCAGUACCCAUGGAAAAUAUAACUUUCACCUCAGUGUGGCACUUCCAUGACAUCUCCUCGGAUAUGGUAAUGCUCAGAAACAUACUUGCAAUUUGGAUCUAGCUAUGUAUUGUCCCUCUGCUCCUGCCCUUUUAAAUCUCUGAUUGCUCAAUCUAAUGCACCGCUUUGAACAGAGCUGUUGUAUCCACUCCCUGCUUCCUAGACUCCUUGCCUCUUCCUAUGCCCACCAGUGACUAUUCUCCCAGUAAAUUCUCCAUUCUAUAUGCAUAUAGGGAUUAACUUCUCAUUUGGAAGAGCAGGAUAAUCGUCUUACUUCAUUGUAUGAGCUCAUAGUUCAGCUACAUGGAGUUGAAAUUUAGUUCUCCAAAUGUCUGGUAUGUGUCAAACAAUAUAAAAUUCUGUUAUAUGGCUGUAGAUUCUUGUUGUGCAGUUGAUUGGGUAUUCUUCCACUCUCCCAGAUUAUCCUACAUCCUAAUCUGUCAUCAGUAGUAUGGUAAAAAAUUCUGGGCAGCUCUUUCCA